AUUAUGCAGGGCUAGCCAAAGGAGCCUAAACCAUGUAGGACAAAAUUGCAAAGAUAUAGACAUUAUUAUUUUUAACUUUUGUUUUAGUUUGUCAUCUAUAUCUGGGCUUUUUAUGCUCAGGAAAAACGUGGAACUCACUAUGAAAUGCAGAAUCUCUGCAAAUCAGUCCCGAGAGCCCCCACGAUCCUUCACUGAAGUCAAGGAAUCGAACACUCAGCUCGUAGAGCGGAUUGCUCAUUCCUCGCAGCUGAUAUCACAUGGGGGCCUACACUGGUCUGGAGUAAAGAGAAAUAAAUCGGAAACUUGCGAUAACUCUAGAACCAUGGUCCUUAAAGUACGGCUCCCCAACCAGCACCAUCAGUUUCACCUGGGAACUUGUUAGAAAUGCAGUUUCUCAGAACCCAGCCCAGACCUGCUCUGUCAGAAGCUCUAGGGGUGCCUCGUAUUCUCCAUUUAGCAAGUUCUCCAGUUGAUUCUGCUGCAGGCUGAACUUUGAGAACCACUGCUCUGGAUAAGAUUGAAGGCAAUUCCCGAAAGCUGAAGAGAGAUCACCAUAGACAUGUGGCAUCAUCUGUAUAUCCUCUAGUAGAAAGCAGGAGCCGCACUCCCCAGGUCUAGAACCGGAAGUGCGCCUCAUUAUGAAAUGAGCUCUAUCUUUAUUCACUCUCUACCUUAGUUUGUCAUUUACAACACAAUCUGAGAAGUCUGCAAGGCAAGGACUUGGCUGCCAUUUUCCCUCAACCCUCCACAAUACCUAGUGGAAAGUCAUUCACAAGGCCACAUUUGAAGCUUUGCAAAGAUACGUGCAAGGCCCUAGACCAAGAAUCAGCAGCAUUGGCUGAGGGUUUCACAUCUUCUGAUUAUCUUUUGCUACAAACGUGGUUAUUUAUGUACUCCCAAUUACAAUCUUGUAAUUUUACCUUCCAUAGGGAAUAUCGCACUAAGCCAGUCAUUUAGACCACAAGAAAUUAAAAAAUUAAAUCAAGCUAGGAAAUCCUGGGUACAAAUUUUGUCCAUUGUGGCACUUUAUAGGUGGCCAGCUCAAGUGGUAGAUAUCUUACUCUCUGAAGUUCACCCCUCUCUCAUCCCUAUGGCAGCUCAACUUUCUAUUAGAUUCCAAUUCUUGAGAAAACAAAGCCAGCCUUUCUGCCUCAUUUUUGGGGCACAAUCCUAGAGUGAAGAUAAAAUCAUUUUCCAUAUCACUUCCUAACACCCCAGUGUGGGCAGAGGAGAGUAGGGCUUUAAGGGUAGAAAAGCAAAAGUAGGAUCUUCUUGGCAAGAAGAGAAAAAUACAUAAACCUGUUGGAAAAUAAAACAAAAACUUCUCACCCAUCAAAUGACCACUCCAUCCAGCAACAGAGUUUAAAAUACUUCGAAGAGCCAUACUACGUUGGAAACAGUAAACUCUGGAUUCAAAUAUACUGUUGGUAUUCAGAGUCUCAGAACAAUCCUCAAGUCCCAGCUUUGCUCCACUUAUGCUCAUAUUUUCAGUAAGUUAUGGCUAACAAUCACCUAAUAUGUUUUGACUGUCAAACUUUUAUGCAAUUGGUAAUGAUCCUUCCAGAAUGGUUUCUGUGGCCAAUGAAGCUUUCACCCAUAAACCAUAGGCUCAGAAAGGAAACAGGGAAUGGCCAAGGCAUUUUGUGCCUGCAUUUGUAUUCAUUUGUAUACAGACCCAUAAUUUCUAAUAUUGUAUCCUUUCAUUCUCUAAAUGUCACUCAAACACUACAGUAAUGCAUAUGGUUCUGAAUAACACCAAGGACUUAAAAAUAAAACUCUUGUCCUUGUCAUAUCUUGGAAAAUGAUUAUAUCAACGGUAGCCAGUUAAGAACAAAGACAUGGGGUAGGAAGUCCCAAACCUGGAACUCCCUGUGUCCUACUCUUACUGUUAUGGCAAGAGGCCGAAAUAUUCAUCAAGUGUAGCAUGUUCAUCAGCGGGUGGUUCAGUAAAGCAGUUCUUGUCAGGGAAGCCAAAGACGUGAUAAUGGUCAGCCUAGCCUAAUUAUGGGGAGUCUGGAAGGAAGGAAGGCCAGGAUUCACCAUUGAUCAUUUGGAUCACCAGGCAUUGCUUACAAGCCAGGUUUCAUGAACAGGAAUCCAGCCUCAUGAAGAUGCGGCUUAGCUGGCAGGAUUAUUUGGAGUGAAUGGGGGCAGAAGAGUGGAUUGGAGUGGUAGUUGCAGUAAUAACACCAGCAACAAUG
ensembl:lncRNA